rnacentral:rRNA from 1 species
AUUGAACGCUGGCGGCAGGCCUAACACAUGCAAGUCGAGCGGAGCGGCGGACGGGUGAGUAAUGCCUAGGAAUCUGCCUGGUAGUGGGGGAUAACGUCCGGAAACGGGCGCUAAUACCGCAUACUAUCAGAUGAGCCUAGGUCGGAUUAGCUAGUUGGGGGGGUAAAGGCCUACCAAGGGGACGAUCCGUAACUGGUCUGAGAGGAUGAUCAGUCAAACGGGAAAUGAGAAACGGUCCAGACUGCUACGGGAGGCAGCAGUGGGGAAUAUUGGAGAAUGGGCUAAAGACUGAUCCAGCAAGGCCGCGUGUGUGAAGAAGGUCUUCGGAUUGUAAAGAAAUUUAAGUUGGGAGGCGUUACCAACAGAAUAAGCACCGGCUAACUUCGUGCCAGCAGCCGCGGUAAUAC